rnacentral:rRNA from 1 species
AACGAACGCUGGCGGCAUGCCUAACACAUGCAAGUCGAACGAGACCUUUGGGUCUAGUGGCGCACGGGUGCGUAACGCGUGGGAAUCUGCCCUUGGGUUCGGAAUAACAGUGAGAAAUUGCUGCUAAUACCGGAUGAUGUCUUCGGACCAAAGAUUUAUCGCCCAGGGAUGAGCCCGCGUAGGAUUAGCUAGUUGGUGGGGUAAUGGCCCACCAAGGCGACGAUCCUUAGCUGGUCUGAGAGGAUGAUCAGCCACACUGGGACUGAGACACGGCCCAGACUCCUACGGGAGGCAGCAGUGGGGAAUAUUGGACAAUGGGCGCAAGCCUGAUCCAGCAAUGCCGCGUGAGUGAUGAAGGCCUUAGGGUUGUAAAGCUCUUUUACCAGGGAUGAUAAUGACAGUACCUGGAGAAUAAGCUCCGGCUAACUCCGUG